ensembl:misc_RNA Metazoa_SRP Metazoan signal recognition particle RNA
GCCAGGUGUGGUGGCACAUGCCUGUAGUCCCAGCUGCUCGGGAGGCUGAAGUGGGAGGAUCACUUGAGCCAGAAGUUCUGGGCUCUAGUGCGCUAUGCCAAUCGGGUGUGUCCACACUAAGUUUGGCAUCAAUAGGGUGACCUCCCGGGAGCAGGGGACCACCAGGUUGCCUAAGGAGGGGUGAACCAGCCCAGGCUGGAAACGGAGCAGGUCAAAACUCCCGUGCUGAUCAGUAGUGGGAUGGCACUUGUGAAUAGCCACUGCACUCCAGCCUGGGCAACAUAGCAAGACCCUGUCUCUA